rnacentral:rRNA from 1 species
GACGAACGCUGGCGGCGUGCCUAAUACAUGCAAGUUGAGCGAUGAAGAUUGGUGCUUGCACCAAUUUGAAGAGCAGCGAACGGGUGAGUAACGCGUGGGGAAUCUGCCUUUGAGCGGGGGACAACAUUUGGAAACGAAUGCUAAUACCGCAUAACAACUUUAAACAUAAGUUUUAAGUUUGAAAGAUGCAAUUGCAUCACUCAAAGAUGAUCCCGCGUUGUAUUAGCUAGUUGGUGAGGUAAAGGCUCACCAAGGCGAUGAUACAUAGCCGACCUGAGAGGGUGAUCGGCCACAUUGGGACUGAGACACGGCCCAAACUCCUACGGGAGGCAGCAGUAGGGAAUCUUCGGCAAUGGACGAAAGUCUGACCGAGCAACGUCGCGUGAGUGAAGAAGGUUUUCGGAUCGUAAAACUCUGUUGGUAGAGAAGAACGUUGGUGAGAGUGGAAAGCUCAUCAAGUGACGGUAACUACCCAGAAAGGGACGGCUAACUACGUG